rnacentral:lncRNA from 1 species
AAGGGUGCUUAGGAUCAGGAGUGCCUCCUGAGAUGGAGGGGCUUAACCAUGACACCUGUACAUGCAAGCACAAGCUGAAAUCACUCGUGCAAUGUUGGCUUCACAUCACUGCUGUUCUGCCACCUGUUAAAUUGCUUCACCUCGGUGCUCUGCUGGGUCACGUUCCAGUGAGCACUACAUGCAUAAUCUACCUCUGAGUUUAGAUAAUUUUUAUGGAGGUUUUCAUAGCCUGGGAGAGGCUGUGAAAGAGAUCCCCAUCUUUCUCAUCUCGUGUCUUGCACAGCACAAAGUUGAAACAGGGAAUGGUGACAAAUGGAACAUAGUCAUUCCACUGAGAAACACCAAGAGAAAUACCAAGCAGAGCCAGGAAAUUGCUGUCAGGCAGCAAUGACAUCAGCCCACAGCCCUUGCCAGCCUCCCUCCAUCACUUCAACAGAUCCAGAUCGCUGCUCUGGAAAGGGCCACUCCCUUUCCCUUGAAUCAGAGAGCACAUGAUCAGAUAUAAAAGGCAUUUAAAAAAAAUUUAGAAGAGCGUUGUGAGCACUUGACAUCUAAUGUUGAAUGUGCGAUUCAUUUGUUUUUAUGAAUAAAA